rnacentral:rRNA from 1 species
CCCUUAGAUGUCCUGGGCCGCACGCGCGCUACACUGACAUGUUCAACAAGCCUCCUAGUUCGACAGGAUUUGGGAAAUCUUUGAACGCAUGUCGUGAUAGGGAUAGAUCAUUGCAAUUAUUGAUCUUGAACGAGGAAUUCCUAGUAAACUCGAGUCAUCAGCUCGCAUUGAUUACGUCCCUGCCCUUUGUACACACCGCCCGUCGCACCUACCGAUUGAAUGUUUCGGUGAAGAUUCCGGAUAGGACUUUUUUGAUUUAUUUCAAUUUUGUCUUAAAAGCUAUCUAAACCUCAACAUUUAGAGGAAGGUGAAGUCGUAACA